rnacentral:rRNA from 1 species
GGACCGUGUAUAAGUCUCUUGGAACAGAGCGUCAUAGAGGGUGAGAAUCCCGUCUUUGACACGGACUACCAGUGCUUUGUGAUGCGCUCUCAAAGAGUCGAGUUGUUUGGGAAUGCAGCUCAAAAUGGGUGGUAAAUUCCAUCUAAAGCUAAAUAUUGGCGAGAGACCGAUAGCGAACAAGUACCGUGAGGGAAAGAUGAAAAGCACUUUGGAAAGAGAGUUAAACAGUACGUGAAAUUGCUGAAAGGGAAACGCUUGAAGUCAGUCGCGUCUGCCGGAACUCAGCCUUGCUUUCGCUUGGUGCACUUUCCGGUUGACGGGCCAGCAUCGAUUUUGACCGUCGGAAAAGGGCUGGGGAAAUGUGGCACCUUCGGGUGUGUUAUAGUCUCCAGUCGCAUACGGCGGUCGGGAUCGAGGAACGCAGCGCGCCGCAAGGCAGGGGUUCGCCCACUUUCGCGCUUAGGAUGCUGGCAUAAUGGCUUUAAACGACCCGUCUUGAAACACGGACCAAGGAGUCUAACAWACCUGCGAGUGUUUGGGUGGAAAACCCGAGCGCGUAAUGAAAGUGAAAGUUGAGACCUCUGUCGUGGAGGGCAUCGACGCCCGGACCUGACGUUCUCUGACGGAUCCGCGGUAGAGCAUGUUUGUUGGGACCCGAAAGAUGGUGAACUAUGCCUGAAUAGGGUGAAGCCAGAGGAAACUCUGGUG